ACGGGGGGUGCAAGCGUUGUUCGGAAUCACUGGGCGUAAAGCGCGUGUAGGCGGAUUGUUAAGUCAGAUGUGAAAGCCCGCGGCUUAACCGCGGAAGUGCAUUUGAAACUGGCAGUCUAGAGUAUGGAAGAGGGAAGGGGAAUUCCCGGUGUAGAGGUGAAAUUCGUAGAUAUCGGGAGGAAUACCGGUGGCGAAGGCGCCUUCCUGGGCCAAUACUGACGCUGAGACGCGAAAGCGUGGGGAGCAAACAG
rnacentral:rRNA from 1 species